rnacentral:rRNA from 1 species
UACGUAGGGGGCAAGCGUUGUCCGGAUUUAUUGGGCGUAAAGGGUGCGUAGGCGGCGUGGUAAGUCGGAUGUGAAAUCUCGGAGCUUAACUCCGAAACUGCAUUCGAUACUGCCGUGCUUGAGGACUGGAGAGGAGACUGGAAUUUACGGUGUAGCGGUGAAAUGCGUAGAUAUCGUAAGGAAGACCAGUGGCGAAAGGCGGGUCUCU